AACGAACGCUGGCGGCGUGUUUAAGACAUGCAAGUCGCACGGGAUGAGACAUGUAGUAAUACUUGUUUUAUUUAGUGGCGCACGGGUGAGUAACACGUGAAUUACAUGCCCUAUAGUGGGGAAUAGCCCAGGGAAACUUGGAUUAAUACCCCAUGGUAUCGAAAGAUUAAAGGUGGCCGCAAGGCUGUCGCUAUAGGAUUGGUUCGCGCCCUAUCAGCUUGUUGGUGAGGUAACGGCUCACCAAGGCAAUGACGGGUACCUGGUCUGAGAGGACGAUCAGGGACACUUGAACUGAGACACGAUCCAGACACCUACGGGUGGUAGCAGUCAAGAAUAAUUCACAAUGAGGGCAACCCUGAUGGUGCAACGCCGCUUGGAGGAUGACGGUCUUCGGAUUGUAAACUCCUGUCAUCUGGGAGAAAGACCUGACGGUAAAUAGCCGGCAGGGUUGAUAGUACCAGAAGUGGAAGGGACGGCUAACUUCGUGCCAGCAGCCGCGGUAA
rnacentral:rRNA from 1 species